UACGUAGGGGGCAAGCGUUGUCCGGAAUCAUUGGGCGUAAAGAGCGUGUAGGCAGCCCGAUAAGUCCGCCGUGAAAGUCCAGGGCUCAACCCUGGAAUGCCGGUGGAAACUGUCGGGCUGGAGUCCGGAAGAGGCGAGUGGAAUUCCUGGUGUAGCGGUGAAAUGCGCAGAUAUCAGGAGGAACACCAAUGGCGAAGGCAGCUCGCUGGGACGGUACUGACGCUGAGACGCGAAAGCGUGGGGAGCAAACAGG
rnacentral:rRNA from 1 species